ACAGUCUGCGCUCCCUCUCACUCUUCAUCAGAUACUGAGAGUGAUGGAGGAUUUUGGCCGUCACACUGACCUCUGCAAGCAGUGUCAGUCAGUCUUUAUGAUCCGUCAGACACCACUGAUACCAACAACUUUGUCCACGUCAGUAAGAGAGAUGCACGAGAGAAUUACAGUAACCUGGAAGACCUCAGGCGCAGACACAAGGAGGGGCACCCAACCCAGAAGAACAGGCCAAGGAGAAGAGGAGGAUGGAGCAACAGCGUCUAUGAGAGGGGAUCACACGCACCAGUGCUGAGACUGUGUGGAGCAGAGGAAUACAUCCAAAAUAAACCACUUCAGCAGGCAGAACUAGAAGCACAGCAAAGAUGACAUGAGGAGGAGUUGGAAAUCACCAAACUGUGGGCUCAGCAAGAAACUACAAGGAAGCUGUGAACAAAAGGAACAAGAGGAGAAGCAGCAUCAGGGACCAAUGCAGCAUGCAGAGGCCACGCGACAACAGAUGAAGGAGCAAGAGGUCUUAGUCGACACAAAGAGAUCUGCGAGGAGGCCAACCGGUUAAACGAGGAAGCUCUGCGGUGACAUUUGAA